UACGUAGGGUGCAAGCGUUAAUCGGAAUUACUGGGCGUAAAGCGUGCGCAGGCGGUUUUGUAAGUUUGUCGUGAAAUCCCCGGGCUCAACCUGGGAAUGGCGAUGAAGACUGCAAGGCUAGAGUUUGGCAGAGGGGGGUGGAAUUCCGCGUGUAGCAGUGAAAUGCGUAGAGAUGCGGAGGAACACCGAUGGCGAAGGCAGCCCCCUGGGUCGACACUGACGCUCAGGCACGAAAGCGUGGGGAGCAAACAGG
rnacentral:rRNA from 1 species